UACGUAGGGUCCAAGCGUUAUCCGGAAUCACUGGGCGUAAAGCGUUUGUAGGCGGAAAUUUAAGUGAGAUGCGAAAUCUUGUGGCUCAACCAUAUAGACGGUAUCUCAUACUGGGUUUCUAGAAGAUAGCAGAGGUAAGUGGAAUUAGUAGUGUAGCGGUAAAAUGCGUAGAUAUUACUAGGAACACCAAUGGCGAAGGCAGCUUACUGGGCUAUAUUUGACGCUGAGAAACGAAAGCGUGGGGAGCGAA
rnacentral:rRNA from 1 species